rnacentral:rRNA from 1 species
AUUGAACGCUGGCGGCAUGCCUUACACAUGCAAGUCGAACGGCAGCACGGGUGCUUGCACCUGGUGGCGAGUGGCGAACGGGUGAGUAAUACAUCGGAACGUACCUUAUCGUGGGGGAUAACGCAGCGAAAGCUGUGCUAAUACCGCGUACGCCCUGAGGGGGAAAGCGGGGGAUCGCAAGACCUCGCGCGAUCAGAGCGGCCGAUGCCUGUUUAGCUGGUUGGUGGGGUAAAAGCCCACCAAGGGGACGAUCAGUAGCUGGUCUGAGAGGACGAUCAGCCACACUGGGACUGAGACACGGCCCAGACUCCUACGGGAGGCAGCAGUGGGGAAUUUUGGACAAUGGGGGCAACCCUGAUCCAGCAAUGCCGCGUGAGUGAAGAAGGCCUUCGGGUUGUAAAGCUCUUUUGUCAGGGAAGAAACACCGGCUCUAACACAGUCCGGGAAUGACGGUACCUGAAGAAUAAGCACCGGCUAACUACGUGCCAGCCGCCGCCGUAA